AUUAGGGGUGCGGGGAUUAUGCUGGAAUAAUUUUAGGAAUAAUAGGUUCCUUAAGAAUACUAGCAUAAAUUAAGAAUAAACGGUAGUGAACGGGAAUAAAAAUGGCUACUCCAUGUGUUGAAUGGUGGAAUUGCAAUUCAGAAGGACUGCCAGCUUGGUCUUGUGUAGCCAAGAAAAUCAUGCUUUUACAGCCAUCUAGUGGAAGCAUAGAAUGAGUGUUUUUGUUACUUAACUCAACAUUUGGUGAUCAACAAGGCACGUCUCUCUUCGACUA